rnacentral:rRNA from 1 species
GCGUUGUCCGGAUUAUUGGGCGUAAAGCGCGCGCAGGCGGAUUGGUCAGUCUGUCUUAAAAGUUCGGGGCUUAACCCCGUGAUGGGAUGGAAACUGCCAAUCUAGAGUAUCGGAGAGGAAAGUGGAAUUCCUAGUGUAGCGGUGAAAUGCGUAGAUAUUAGGAAGAACACCAGUGGCGAAGGCGACUUUCUGGACGAAAACUGACGCUGAGGCACGAAAGCCAGGGGAGCGAACGGGAUUAGAUACCCCGGUAGUCCUGGCCGUAAACGAUGGGUACUAGGUGUAGGAGGUAUCGACCCCUUCUGUGCCGGAGUUAACGCAAUAAGUACCCCGCCUGGGGAGUACGACCGCAAGGUUGAAACUCAAAGGAAUUGACGGGGGCCCGCACAAGCGGUGGAGUAUGUGGUUUAAUUCGACGCAACGCGAAGAACCUUACCAGGUCUUGACAUUGAUGGACAGAACUAGAGAUAGUUCCUCUUCUUCGGAAGCCAGAAAGCAGGUGGUGCACGGUUGUCGUCAGCUCGUGUCGUG